ACUGUUUCCUUCAGUUUCCUUUCAGAGCAAAGGAUCAAAUGUCUUCAAUUAGAUAGAUAGCUUGAUUAUAACUACUAAAUAUGGAUCGAGUACCUAAACGGUUAGUAGAUUGCCAUAUGACACUAAUCUAAAAUAUGAUGAUGUUAUGUGAGCUUUUCUUCUCCCUCCUGCAAGAACAUGCCUUCCCAUGAGUGAUGGAUUACUACAUAUAAGGAGUGUUACAAAAAGGAUUUUCUCUGCGUUGAUCGCUACAGUCCUAUGAGCUUCUCCCAUUGUGGAUUACAG